CACAAAACCCCCCAAGCAACAAUCCAAACCCCCAUUAUCACUUUCCUACCAACUGUUAUUUUUUUAAGAUAUGACACCACAUCGUUUUUAUCUUCUAUGUUUGUGAUACCCUGCUUGGAGUCUUUGCAAGACUGUUAUGGCUCAUCUCUCUGAUCUACUGCUUCAAAAUAUCUUCAUGCUUAAGGUUCAUGGGUUGCCCAAAUAUGUUCUGUAUCUCCAGUUUUAACCUCUUUCUCACAUUAUCCGACCAUAUAUGUCAAUUUCACAGCGUCCCUUGUUCUUUGUAUUUAGCUUUGCUUGAACAGUUCAGAAGGAGGUAAUGUACUUUUGAAUUUACAGAUUUUGCUAUUUAGAGAAUGUGUGCCUCCACCUUCAGUUGGAAUGGAUGAUAUUCCGUGGAUUGCUUUCUGCACAGUUUUGGCCUUAAUCUUCCAUUUGUACAUGUAUAUAUCAAUGCUAUUUAGAGAAUGUGUGCCUCCACCUUCAGUUGGAAUGGAUGAUAUUCCGUGGAUUGCUUUCUGCACAGUUUUGGCCUUAAUCUUCCAUUUGUACAUGUAUAUAUCAAUGCUAUUUAGAGAAUGUGUGCCUCCACCUUCAGUUGGAAUGGAUGAUAUUCCGUGGAUUGCUUUCUGCACAGUUUUGGCCUUAAUCUUCCAUUUGUACAUGUAUAUAUCAGUGAGUUUGCAUCCACCAUUUAAUCAGUAAUUGUCGCUGUAGUGUUAAAAGGCACGCAGCCUAGAGCAUGUCUCUUUCAUUUUAUCAUCUGCUUGUAUAUUUCCUGCUUCAGAAGUGUGAAUCUGUGUAAAUGCAUAGGAUGUAGGUAAUACCAAGUUCAUUUAAGCUCCUUCUCCAGAAGAUACUAAAUGUGGAAGGUCCUGCAAAAGCUGGCGUCAUCCGCAAUUUGUCUUGGGUAUGCGACUGCAGAACUGUUUUACCCUUUUGGUUUACAUGAUUCAACAUCUACCCUUGUUAUUUAAUCAACAUAACAGAAGAAGAAGAAACUGUCUUAUUGCGGUAGUGUCACAGUCUUGGAUCUGACAUAGCAAUGAGACUGUUUAUUCUCCUCUAUUAUAGAGGUUUACUGUCCUUGCUACAUUAUUAUCAUGUUGAUUAAAAUCUCUGUGGAGCCGUUGGGCUGUUUGUCAUAUGCUUUAUACAACAUUGGGUUGCAUUUCUGGUUUUUCUUUUCC